CUACAGCCAUACCACCCUGAAUGCACCUGAUCUCCUCUGAUCUUGGAAGCUAAGCAGGGUCGGGCCUGGUUAGUACUUGGAUGGGAGAAUAAGAUUUAAUAAAAUCAACACCCUCUUUGAAGUUCCCUCUCAUUUGGUAGU
rnacentral:rRNA from 1 species